rnacentral:lncRNA from 1 species
AGUGGGGGGUGCCAUAACUUUUUUCUUCGAAGCUUGCUUAUAGUUCGUUCGGGGGAAAAUGGACUGGUUGGUUAACGUUGAAAUAAACAACUAAGACGACAAGCAUUAAUGUUGUGGAAACAGCAGGAAGAGCUUUAAUUUCCUCGAACAACAAAGUGCCCAGCUCUUUAACCGUAAAUGAAACAUAAGUCUGGUUGGAAGCGGAACACACUCAAACAGAACAGAUUUUGAUCACUUUUGACAGAAGAAAAACAAAAUGGGUUAAUUACAUUUACCUCCCCUUAGGUUUGACCAAACUACGAAUCAAACCUUGAAGUUUAACUAAAUUACAUCUGACUCCCUUGUCAGUAACACCGUCAAGAGCCAGUAAGUAGAACAAAUAAAAUGACAAAUUUACCCUCUACUCACAACAAUAAAUAAAUUUCACAAAACAAAAAAAAAAGAAAAAAGUUGCAAAAAUAAAAAUUGGAGAGUUUUAUAGAGAAAACAUAAAGACAAUUGAAAAAAAUAAAUCUUUAUCUCAGCGCCUAAAGUUAACAAAUUGAUAGAUAAAAGAAAAGAUAACCAUGAAAAUUGCAUAAAAUAAUAAAAAGGAAAUUCAUUAGUACUAGAUACAGGAAAGAAUAAAAAAAAAAUUAAGAAGAAAAAAGAUUUCCUGCUAUCCAUGGAUUGUACUGCUCAAAACCUUAAUUGCUCAUCUUCCCAUCUCUAAGUUAUCACCUAUCUCUAACACAUUCCCAAUUCCAAACUAUUGCAAAUUCAUUCAUCUUUUAACACCAUAGCCUGCGUUCUCUAUCAUUUCCUUUAAAAACCCACAAAAAAUAAACAUAUAAUUGCUUCAUAUGAAACCAAAUCGUGCAGCCCAAUUCUUUGUACACAUUCAAGUGAAGCAAAGCCAGCAAAAUAGAAACAAGAAAGCAGCAAAAUUUGAUACAAAGAGAGCCACCAAAAUCACAGACAAAACCAUAACCCAUCUUAGCCACAAGCAAUGCUCAGAAUCUCUUCUCUAGCUCCUCAUAAACAGGGUUUAGCAUUCAAAUCUCAUGUCUAGAGGAGAAAAAGAGUUGGUUUUGGUAUUGAAAUUACAAGAUCUAGAUUUUGAAAGGUAUUGCAAUUUGUGAUGAAAUAGUAAUGUUUUUAUGGAAGAAGGAGAAGGAAAAAGAAAAAAGAAGUAGCAAGGAGUGAUUUUGAUAAGCAACUAGUGAAUGUGUGUCCAUUUGAAUCCAUUCUACAUGAACAACGUAGAACCAUUGUGCAACUCCAUUGGCUCCAUUGGCUUCAAUCCC